rnacentral:rRNA from 1 species
UAUCUCUGUAGAGUCUGCAUAUCAAUAAGCGGAGGAAAAGAAACUAACAAGGAUUCCCUUAGUAACGGCGAGUGAAGCGGGAAGAGCUCAAAUUUGAAAUCUUCAAGGUUUUACCUUGACGAAUUGUAGUUUAAAGAAGUGUUUUCUGUUAGGAUGUUUAGGUAAAAGUUCCUUGGAAUAGGACAUCAUAGAGGGUGAGAAUCCCGUAUUUGACUAUUACUUCCUAGCUUUGUGAUACACUUUCAAAGAGUCGGAUUGUUUGGGAAUGCAGUCCAAAAUGGGUGGUAAAUUUCAUCUAAAGCUAAAUAUUGGCGAGAGACCGAUAGCGAACAAGUACCGUGAGGGAAAGAUGAAAAGAACUUUGAAAAGAGAGUUAAACAGUACGUGAAAUUGUCAAAAGGGAAGCGUUUGACACCAGUGUUGUUUUCUCGAAAAUCAAUUAAAAAAAGUUGGAUUUUGUAUUGUUAAGACCUUAUCAGCUUACUGUACUCUUUUCUUGCUUUUUUUAAUGCACUUUUCGUUUAACAAGUCAACAUCAAUUUCUUUUGUUGUAAAAGAGUCAUUGGAAGGUGGCUUUCACUUCGGUGAAAGUGUUUAUAGCCUUUGGCUUCUGCAAUCGGAGAGAUUGAGGUCUGCAGCGUAGAUCCUCCGGGGCUAGAUACGUAGAUGCUAAGUUAUAGUUUUUUAUAGACAACUUGUUGACUAUAAUUAAUCAUGUAGCCUACUCGUUUGCGCUAUUUUACCUACGCUUAGGAUGUUGAAGAUGUAGCACAUCAU